UGUCAGUUUGCGGGAGAGUGUCCUGUACAACAUUGUGCAGAGCCACCGAAGGGGAAAUCGCCCGAAAUCUCUCAGGUACCAAGAACCGCAAGCAGGUA
rnacentral:ncRNA from 2 species